UACGUAGGGUGCGAGCGUUAAUCGGAAUUACUGGGCGUAAAGCGUGCGCAGGCGGUUUUGUAAGCCAGAUGUGAAAGCCCCGGGCUUAACCUGGGAAUGGCAUUUGGGACUGCAAGGCUUGAGUGCGGCAGAGGAGACUGGAAUUCCUGGUGUAGCAGUGAAAUGUGUAGAUAUUCGGAAGAACACCAGCGGCGAAGGCAGCGGAUUGGGCCAAUACUGACGCUCAGGCACGAAAGCAUGGGGAUCAAACAGG
rnacentral:rRNA from 1 species